GUUUGAAAAUAAAGAACAGACGUGGAGAGGGGGUGGUAUCCAGGCCCAACCCAAAGGCAGGGAGGAGCUGUCUGUCCCGCUCCGCUCCCUACCCCUGGAGAAGUUGGCACCCUCUGCUCCAGGGAAGUCACUCCGUCUGUCUCUCUGUCUGUAUCCCUCCCUCGAAGCAGACCUGCCUAGGACUCAACAGGCACCCACCAGAAACAGAAAGAGGACAAUAACGGAGAUGUGGGACACUUGAAGACUUGUCCUGGGUCGUCCCUAGCACCCCGCUCCGCACUGACAUUUGUGAUGGGGGGGGGGUCUACCUUAAAGGCACCUUUGUCUACCGG